rnacentral:rRNA from 1 species
GACAGAGGGUGCAAACGUUGUUCGGAAUUACUGGGCGUAAAGCGUGUGUAGGCGGCUUUGCAAGUCGGAUGUGAAAGCCCCGGGCUCAACCCGGGAAGUGCACUCGAUACUGCAGAGCUAGAGUGUCGGAGAGGUUGGUGGAAUUCUCGGUGUAGAGGUGAAAUUCGUAGAUAUCGAGAGGAACACCGGCGGCGAAGGCGGCCAACUGGACGACUACUGACGCUGAGACACGAAAGCGUGGGGAGCAAACAGG